rnacentral:tRNA from 1 species
GUGGCUGUGGCGCAGUUGGUUAGCGCGUUAGGUUGUGGCCCUGAAGGCCGAGGGUUCAAAUCCCUCCAGCCACC